UCCAUCUUUCAAUUUUACCACCUUCAUUAGACUUUUGUCCUUGCUGAGUCCCUUGCAUAGUCACUUUUAGUCAUGUUCAGUGUAAGUGAAGGCACUGUUUCUUCCUAUUGUUUAUGUAAGUUCUAGAACUUUCAUGAAAGAUCUUCCAGCAAACCUGUCCUCACAACUCAAUGAUGAAAACUGGGUCAAAGGACACCUUCAAAUGCGUUAUUUUUAAUGGCAAAAUGAUUGUCAUGUUUAAGUGAAAUAAAUCAAGAUUGAUCUCUGAGUCAUGUGGGGAAGAGGUGAAACAAAAUCAGGGAAACAAUCACAUGACAAACUUUAAGAGGACAAGAACAUGAGCUUUGGCAGAAAACUUCAGUAUAAUGUACACAAAAUUGGAGCAGAUCCAAAAUUCUGGAAUUACAGGCAUGAGCCACCACGCCCGGCCAUAAAAGCCUUCUUUAAUUCCCUCA